rnacentral:rRNA from 1 species
UCGCCUGUUUAUCAAAAACAUCGCCUCUUGCAAACUAUGAAGUAUAAGAGGUCCCGCCUGCCCUGUGACAGCAAUGUUUAACGGCCGCGGUAUUUUAACCGCGCGAAGGUAGCGUAAUCACUUGUCUUUUAAAUGGAGACCUGUAUGAAUGGCAUAACGAGGGUUUAACUGUCUCCUCCCCCCAAUCAAUGAAAUUGAUCUGCUCGUGCAGAAGCGAGCAUGAGAACAUAAGACGAGAAGACCCUAUGGAGCUUUAGGCAAAUGACCAAGCACACAUAACCCCUUACCAAACUAAGGAGGAAAAUAAAACGCCAUUGGACAAAAUGCCUUCGGUUGGGGCGACCAUGGAGGAAAAAAAAGCCUCCGGGUGGAACGGGAAAACCCCUAAACUAAGAGAAACAACUCUAAAUAACAGAAAUUCUGACCAAACGUGACCCAGGACAAACCUGAUCAACGAACCAAGUUACCCUAGGGAUAACAGCGCAAUCCCCUCCCAGAGUCCAUAUCGACGAGGGGGCUUACGACCUCGAUGUUGGAUCAGGACAUCCUAAUGGUGCAGCCGCUAUUAAGGGUUCGUUUGUUCAACGAUUAACAGUCCUACGUGAUCUGAGUUCAGACCGG